rfam:Jatropha curcas cultivar GZQX0401 scaffold390_29, whole genome shotgun sequence.
CGUCCGAUGCCACGUCGCCGGUAGCCAGUGGCGUUGACCGGCGAUGCUAUGAUUGGACGGAAAUCAAUUUCUUGUUUCGCCUUUUGAUAGGAACCUGUGGAUCUGGUUUCAGUUGAUCUACGGAGCCGUUUUCGGCGAUUACAUUU